AUACGUAGGGUGCGAGCGUUAAUCGGAAUUACUGGGCGUAAAGCGUGCGCAGGCGGUUAUGUAAGACAGAGGUGAAAUCCCCGGGCUCAACCUGGGAACGGCCUUUGUGACUGCAUGGCUAGAGUGCGGCAGAGGGGGAUGGAAUUCCGCGUGUAGCAGUGAAAUGCGUAGAUAUGCGGAGGAACACCGAUGGCGAAGGCAAUCCCCUGGGCCUGCACUGACGCUCAUGCACGAAAGCGUGGGGAGC
rnacentral:rRNA from 1 species